rnacentral:rRNA from 1 species
UACGUAGGGGGCUAGCGUUGUCCGGAAUCAUUGGGCGUAAAGAGCGUGUAGGCGGCCCGGUAAGUCCGCUGUGAAAGUCGGGGGCUCAACCCUCGAAUGCCGGUGGAUACUGUCGGGCUAGAGUGCGGAAGAGGCGAGUGGAAUUCCUGGGUGUAGCGGUGAAAUGCGCAGAUAUCAGGAGGAACACCGAUUGCGAAGGCAGCUCGCUGGGACGUUACUGACGCUGGAGACGCGAAAGCCGUGGGGAGCAAACAGG